UCUCUCUUUCUUCACUUAUUUACUUAGACAAGGCCUUGGUUUGUAGCCUCAGGUUGCCUCGGAUUUCUAGUAAUCUUCUUACUUCCAAAGUGCUGUGAUUACAGGCACACAAAGCUACAUUCACUUUGUGCUCAGUGAAUGGGCCUGGAAGUGAAGGAUCACAGCAGCAAUGAGCACCCCCAGAUCUUUGUUUCUAAAUAGUGGUCUCCCCUAUAUAGGAAGCCAGAACUCAUUGAAGAAAUGGCUGGUGUUAGAACCAGAGCAGGGAAAGUGGAAAAAAAUAAGCAAGUACUAAAACCUGAGCUAUGUCAAAGGGUGAAAGAGUCAGCCACAGGAACCUGAGAGCCCAGAUGGGUCAGCCAGAGUCUCAGGUAUGAGGAUAUGCUGGGUGGAGAGGUGCACAUCUUCAAUCCCAGCACUCAGAAGGCAGACCUGGGCUAGACAGUAAGUUCUAGGCCAACCUGAGCCACACAGAGAGAUUUCUUUUUAAUUUUUUUUUCUUUUUUCUUUAUGGUUUCUCGAGACAGGGUUUCUCUGUGUAGCCCUGGCUGUCCUGGAACUCGCUUUAUAGAUUAGGCUGGUCUCAAAUUAAAGAGACUCAUCUGCCUCUGCCUCCCAAGUACUGGGGUUAAAGGUGUGCACCACCUUUGCCUGUCUCUUUUUAGCUUUAAAUUUACAUUUAUCUUUAUGUGUGUGUACGUUCCUGUAAUGGUGUGGUAUGGAUGUCAGAGGACUUUUGGAAGCUGGUUCUUUGCUUCUACCAUAUGUAAGCUCAGAGACUGAACUCAGGUAGCCAGGCUUGGCAGCAAGUGCCGUAAGAACUAAUCUACUUGACAGCCCCACAGUGAGAUCUCAUCUCAGUAAAAACAAAAAACAAAGAAAGAAAACAGUCUGUAAAUACUUUCCUACAACUCAAAGGAACAGACUCAAGAGAGCAUGUUUCUAGUAUAGAGAUAAAUCAUACACAGACAAGAAUGAGUUCCUUGUACAAGGUUUGACUAAGUCUGAACAGUAUUUAAUAAGGCGCCUCUGGCUCCCUCUGCUGGUGUCUCAUGUGGAAUGGUAUGAAUGAAGUUAUUAGCAUAUCCAAUCUUUCAGUUUAGAAACAUAAAGACUUUCAAGUACAAUCUCUAACUCUGAACUUGCUUACUUCCCUAAAUUUGGAGAAACCCUGAGCCUACAAACUUGCAUGUUUCCUGGCUCUCAGAAGUAUUAGUAGGGGCAUGUUAACAGGGGACUAGUUUCUAAGAGCCCAGACAAACUUACCCCCUCAGCAGCAUCAAUGAAAAGGACCACUCCAUCUGAGAUGCGCAAGCCAGCUGUGACCUCAUCAGAAAAAUUCACAUGACCUGAAAAGCAAAUAUCCAGCUAUCGCUUGGUGGAAGGAGGCAGUUAGCUUCUAGGGUGACCCAAGGAACCAGUCCUAUGAACUCCAAAUAUCCUUCUUCCUGCCCACAGCACCUCACAGUAUAUAAACUUCUCCCAUUUGAGUACCAUCCUGGGAUUAAAGUUUUAUACAAGUCUCCACAUAGAGACGGUAAAGCAGCCGGCACACCAAUUUAGUCUGACAGGUAACCAACAGUGCAAGAGCUAUGAUGAUCUGGAGACAGGGGAAUGGCAAAGGAAGGCCUAGGAAGCAUGGCGAGCGGCUCCAGGCAAGGCACAGCUAGAGAACGGGGUGGCACGGGCACCAGAGUGCCAGGCAUGGGAACCUGAUGGGGCACUGAAGGCAAGUCUGCCAGAUCCCAAAUUGCCCAGACAUUAAAUCAAACACUUAUGCAUCAAGUCAGCCCUUUCCACGAAAGAAACAGCUGGUGGCAGGGCCACGGCACCCUGACACACUUUGUCCACUUCUUUGGGGUUAGGUCUGACUCACCUUUAUUUCAUCAUGGCUAGGUCUGGGGCCUAACAUAAACUGAAAUCAGUGUGCAUACAAAGUUCCUAAAAUUUAAAAUUCCACAGGGAAGUAAAGAUGGAUGUGACAUCAAAGGCCAGGAGACUACUAUUGUGUCAAAGAAAAGGAAACCCUUGGACAAGAAUACAAAUACCAAGAACACUCCGUACUGCGGAAACGGAACACAAACAGAUCGUGGACGAGGCUGUGACAGUAAAGGUCAAGGGGCCCACCUGGCGUGUCCAUGAUGUUGAAGAGGUAAGACUUCCCUUUGGUGUCCGGCAGCACCACCGUCACCGGAGUGCUCUUGAUGCCGACGCCUCUCUGAAAUCCACAGACAGAUACUCAAGACUUAUCCCCGACCAAAGGAAUCCCUCAGCUCUUGGGGUUUAUCAGUUGCUAACUGAUCAUACAAAUGGUUCUCCUUGUAGUGGGUGUAAUUCUUUCUUUUUAUCUAGACCUCUGACAUGAUUUUUUAGAUCUCUCUCUCUCUCUCUCUCUCACACACACACACACACACAUUUUUUUGUUUGGUUUGGUUUUUGUUUUUAAGACAGGGUUUCUCCGGCUGUCCUGGAACUGGCUUUUAGACCAGGCUGCUCUCAAACUUACAGAGAUCUCUCUGCCUCUGAGUGCUGGGAUUAGAGGCCUGUGCACACAUACUUUUUUUUACAGUGCUAGAGAAUAAACUCAGAAUAUGUACAUACUAAGCAAGUAUUCUACCACAGAAUUACAUUUCCGGUCCUAAAACUAAUUUUGGGGGGCGGGGUAAGGAAUAUUAGGAAUUGAAUAUCUCACAUAGUAGGUGAUCAAUACCCUUAGCUCUGAAGUUUUAUUUUGAGACAAAGUCUCACUAAGUUGUUCAGGCUGACCUCAUCCUUGUUCUGUAACCCUGGUAGUUAGGCUUUGCAUAAUAACUUCCUUUCUGGCUGGCCUCUAACUCAGAGACCCAUCCACCUGUCCCUGCCUCCCAGGCCUGGGACUAAAGGUAUGAGCUACUACACAAAGCUGGAUUUGAAUUUCUGAUGGGGCCUUUGGAGUAGCUGGGAUUACAGGUCUGUUCUACCUUGUACAUCAGCAAGCAAGGUAAUGUGCCUUAAUCAGAUUGAAGGGCAAUUAGUUAAAAAAAAGAAAAAUGAGAAGAGCAAGCAAUGAUGUAAGCUCAGAGGCCACAGACCCCAGGUUCUCACCUCCUUCAUUGGAAACAAAGCAGGUAAGUGUCAUAAAAAUAAAAAGAAACAAUCUGGGUUUAGGGCUUUUUGUUUGUUUCUUUGUUUGUUUGUUUUAUGCAUGAGUACACUGUAGCUGUCUUCAGACACACCAGAAGAGUGCAUCAGAUCCCAUUACAGAUGGUUGUGAGCCACCAUGUGGUUGCUGAAAAUUGAACUCAGCACCUCUAGAAGAGCAGUCAGUGCUCUCAAACUCUGAGCCAUCUCUCCAGCCCUUGGUUUUGUUUUUAAAGGAAAGAAAUAUUUAGAAGUUCUCAUAGGAAAUAAGUAUUUUAAAAGGGGGGAAAGCUGGGCACUCAUACUGUGGUAUACCAUUAAUGCCAACACUUAGGAGGCAGAGGCAGGAAUUCAAGGUCACCUUUGGCUACAUAAAGGGUUGGAGGCUAGCCUGGGCUAUAUGAGGUCCUGUCUCG
ensembl:lincRNA